CCUACGGGAGGCAGCAGCAGGGAAUAUUGCGCAAUGGGCGAAAGCCUGACGCAGCGACACCGCGUGAAGGAUGAAGGCCCUCGGGUUGUAAACUUCUUUCAGUGGGGAAGAAGCGAAAGCGACGGUACCCACAGAAGAAGCCCCGGCCAACUACGUGCCAGCAGCCGCGGUAAUACGUAGGGGGCAAGCGUUGUCCGGAUUCAUUGGGCGUAAAGAGCUCGUAGGCGGCUUGGCAAGUCGGUCGUGAAAUACCGAGGCUCAACCUCGGAACGCCGAUCGAAACUGCCAUGGCUAGGGUCCGGUAGAGGAGAGUGGAAUUCUCGGUGUAGCGGUGAAAUGCGCAGAUAUCGAGAGGAACACCAGUAGCGAAGGCGGCUCUCUGGGCCGGUACCGACGCUGAGGAGCGAAAGCGUGGGGAGCAAACAGGAUUAGAUACCCUGGUAGUCCACGCCGUAAACGUUGGGUACUAGGUGUGGCGGGUUCAUCAAUGCCUGCCGUACCGAAGCUAACGCAUUAAGUACCCCGCCUGGGGAGUACGGUCGCAAGGCUGAAACUCAAAUGAAUUGACGG
rnacentral:rRNA from 1 species